rnacentral:rRNA from 1 species
AUUGAACGCUGGCGGCAUGCUUUACACAUGCAAGUCGAACGGUAACAGGCCUUCGGGUGCUGACGAGUGGCGAACGGGUGAGUAAUGCAUCGGAACGUGCCCAAUCGUGGGGGAUAACGUAGCGAAAGUUACGCUAAUACCGCAUAAGCCCUGAGGGGGAAAGCAGGGGAUCGCAAGACCUUGCGCGAAUGGAGCGGCCGAUGUCAGAUUAGCUAGUUGGUGGGGUAAAGGCCUACCAAGGCGACGAUCUGUAGCGGGUCUGAGAGGAUGAUCCGCCACACUGGGACUGAGACACGGCCCAGACUCCUACGGGAGGCAGCAGUGGGGAAUUUUGGACAAUGGGCGCAAGCCUGAUCCAGCCAUGCCGCGUGCGGGACGAAGGCCUCGGUGUAACCG